rnacentral:rRNA from 1 species
GAAAGCAUCUAAGCACGAAACUUGCCCCGAGAUGAGUUCUCCCUGACUCCUUGAGAGUCCUGAAGGAACGUUGAAGACGACGACGUUGAUAGGCCGGGUGUGUAAGCGCAGCGAUGCGUUGAGCUAAGCGGUACUAAUGAACCGUGAGGCUUAACCUU